rnacentral:lncRNA from 1 species
GUCUUGGUUAGUUGUGAAGUUUAAUUUAUUUCGCGAGUUUAGCCGUAGACUGAGCUACGAUUCGUACGACCAAGUCUACGCCCAGAGUGGCUAGCAAUAGGGUUAGCAGAGUCUAAUUUACGUCCAGAGUGGCUAAAUUACGACUUGUGAAUCUAGUUUCGGGUCUUAGUUACAAUUUAAAAAAUAAAUUAAAUAAACAAUUAAUUAAGAAAGCAAAAUAAUUGAUUGAGUUCCAAAAAAUUACAAAAAUAUCAAAACAUUACAAGAGGGGGAAUAUCACGAGCUCUCCCGACACUUCUGUCGCUUCGGCCAGAAGUCGUCAAAAUCCACACAGUUACCCAAAACUUAAGGAGUCGACGAUUGGGACACCGAGUCACCGACUCAGGGUAAAACAACAUCACAUUUCCAGGAGGGAGUAUCAGAAGCUCUCUCCGACACUUCUGUCGCUUCGGCCUUAGUAGACUAGGGGUCAUUUUGACGCUUCGGCCUUAAUGAUAUCAAGAGGGGAGUAUCACAAGCUCAUCCCGACACUCCUAUCGCUUUGGCCAGAAGUUGUCAAAUUCGGGGGGGAGUAUCAUAAACUCUUCCCGACACUUCUAUCGCUUUGGCCAGAAGCUGUCACAUGAUGAGCAUGAUAGAUCUGUCGCUUCGGCCAGAUCAAUGAAGGAUUUAUUGAGCAUAGGAAGGAGAAGCACGAGGAGCAGCCCCGCACGGCAAGGUCAGUAAGUCAAUAAAUAUAUCCUUUAGACUGAUACAGUUGUUUUGCAGGUUAUUUUUGUUUUGCAGGAACGAUUCUGUCGCUUUGGCCAGGAUCCACGCAUUCUGUCGCUUCGGCCAGAAUCAGACUCUAAUAACGAGUCGGUCCAUUUUGUCGCUAUGGCCUCAAUGGACCAAGAAUUAUUUUGUCGCUUUGGCCUCAAUAAUUCUCCUAUCUUGUCGCUUUGGCCUUGAUAGACUUGGAGAUCAUUUUGUCGCUUUGGCUUUAAUGAUCUCGACCCACUUUGUCGCUUCGGCCUUAGUGGGGUAACUGUCGUUGCGGACGUAAAGUCUCUCUUGAUCAGGGUGGACUAUAAACAUCGGUUCUGAUAGUGAACUAGACCCUGUUGCUUUGGCCAGGAUCCACGCAUUCCGUCGCUUUGGCCAGAAUCAGACUCUGAUAGUGAGUCGCUCCAUUUUGUCGCUUUGGCCUUAAUGGAUGGGAAUUAUUUUGUUGCUUUGGGCCUUAAUAAUCUCCCUUCAUCUUGUCGCUUCGGCCUUGAUGAUAACACAGAAAGAGUCGCUCCUGAUCAGAGUUGGACUAUAAAUACGUAGUUCCAUUGGCCAGGGAUCUCGGGUCUGGUAGCCCGAGGACUUGGCCUCCACGGAAUCGGCGACUCCACUCCUGGAUCGGCGAUUCCCAUACCUGAGUCGCCGACUCCCAGACGUUACGCGGGCGGGCCCACCCCAUUAUGGCACCCUUCAAUAGGGCACCAUAAUGAGGUGGGCCCCACUCAAUAAGAGUGGAAACGCCUCUAGGACCCUAUAAAAGGGGACCUAGGGGUGUCCUCCACUCCCAUCUCCUCUUGACCACACACACUCCACACUAGAGCAUCCAAGGAGCCCGAAUCGCCUACUCCCACGUGAGUCGCCGAUUCCCCUCCUCUUCUGCAGGUGUUUGAUGUAGAGCGCGCGUCGUGGACUCCACAGCCUCCGGCUCAUCUCGCCACCCCGCGAGCCCACUGGUAGCAGAUUCCGUGCUUCAUCAGGGUUUUAAUGGUGGUAAAUGGAGAUGGAUUUCCGCCAACGAUCACUUUAGAUGGCGGAAGUCUGCCAUCUAAAGACCGCCAUACAAGGUCUUAUUUCUUGUAGUGUUGGGGUGAAGCCUGGGUCGAUGUUUAGCUCAUGGCAUGUCGUGGUUCGCUGUACCUGUGAGGGUGCCUCUCCCUCCCACACGAAUGAUGCCUCAUGAGUAUUUAGUAAUUCUAUUAAGAAAUUUUUUAAUUCUGAGGUAAUGAACAUACCUAUCAUAAUUUUUCCUCCCCAUGUUAGUGCAACUUCUUCUGUUUGGCCCUGGGGUGCCACCUCCUCCUCUUCCUCUCUUUCUCGGAUAAACAGAGUUGUGGGCUUGGCCAUUUUGGUUGCCUUUCUGUAUGAAUCCCUCGAAUCCUUUUGUUCUCCUCGCACAGUUGCCAUUUUUCCAUCAUUCCGUAAGUAUCUGAAGGUCUGAUGGUAGGAUGAGGGUACUGCCUUGAAGCCGUGUAUACUUGGCCUUCCUAGGAUUCCGUUUAACGGGGAAGCGAUGUCUGCUACAAUGAAGUGUGCAGUUUUGGCUACUCUCCCUCUUCUUUCACCCAACGAUACUUCUAGAUCAAUUAUACCCACUACUGGAGCUUUUGUGUUUGUAAAACCGUAUAUUGCCUCUUUGGCUGGGGUUAAUUGCUCCUUCUUGAAGCCCAUUUUCUCGAAAGAAGCUAGAUACAGGAUGUCUACUGAGCUCCUGUUAUCUACCAUUACCUUGGUUAGAGUUAGGUCUUCUCAUAUAUCUACUUGGAUCAACAAUGGGUCUUCGUGUGGGUUUGCAAUAUUGUCUAGAUCUUCUUCUGAGAAACUGACAUCCUCCUGUGGGUAUGCCCUUUUUCAUGGAUUUUUUAUUGGUUGCGUAGUAGUGUGUAGGACUUUUCUUGUGUAUCUCCUACUUUGUCCUACUGAUCCCCCUCCGAAGAUGACAUUGAUGACUUUUCUUUUCUGUUCCUUAGGUUUGUCAUUAGGACUGCACGAGCGCUCUCGCUUUCUUCUGCUCUUUGGGGGUUUGCAACUUGUUUCCUCCCGGAUUUUAGCUACAUACCCCUUCAACUUCCCUACCUUUGCCUGGGCUUCUAAAAGGCCUUCCAGCUCUCUACAGGUGUUGGCCCGUGACCUUAAUCUCUAUGGAACUCGCAGUAUCUUCUGUUUUUUUCCCGUGCCUCUCUAGUGGCGGGAUCUAGAGGGAUAGGUUCUGGAAACUUCAUUUUUCCUUUAUCCCUGCCGUAUAUUUCCUGAUGUGACGUAUUGAAAGGAUUGUUGGCAUUGUGGAACCUUGAUCUCCUGGGUUCCUCUAAUGUUUGAUAGACCCUGCUAUCAUGCCUGGGUUUCCAUGAUGAUUCCCCCUUUUCGAAUUUUUUGAAUUUCUCUUUUUGAGGCUUGAAUGCCUAUGCUGCGGCAACCACUUUCUCUUUCUCCUUUUCUUCGGAGUUCAUGUACUUCUGUGCCUGGACCAUCAUCUCUUCUAUGCUUUUUACGGGUUUUACAUUCAGCUUGAUUGCCAGUGGGUUGUUCAUGUCUAGACCGCUUGAGAAUGCAUAAAUUGCGAUGGUCGUAUUUAGGUUGGAUACCUUCUGCAUUACCUCAGUGAACUUGUUUGUGUAGUUUCUGAAGGUGUCAUUAUUCUGUUUUAUCAGGAAUAGUGAAUCUGUCCCCUUUUUUACCAUCACAUUAUCACAGUGCUGAGCCAGGAAUUUCUCUCUUAGGUCAGAGAAGCUUUUGAUGCUCUGAGUUGGUAAAUCUGCAAACCUCCUGUAUGUGCUUCCUCUCAGGGUUCCUGGGAAAGCCCUACACAGUAUGCCAUCCCUCUCUGUUACCCAUUGCAUGGCUUCCCUGAACAUAUUUAUGUGAUCCACGGGGUCCUGCUUUCCAUUAUAUUCUGGCAGUUUUGGGAGCUUGAACCCUAUUGGUGUGGAGUAUAUCAUCAAUGAGUUGUCUAAGGCUUCCAUGCCCUGGAAUAGGACUGAGCGCUUUCGUGUUAUGUUUUCUGAAUCCCCUGUUCCCUCCCUGUACUAUAGAUGCGGGAUUUGGUGAGAUUUUGUAUUUUCCUUUGGCUUUAUGGUGAGGGAUUUUCUGCCUGACUUUUUGUGCGAGGGGUCUGGAUUUUGCUGUCUGGUUAAUUGCCCUUUGUUUCUCUGAACCCUGUCCUGAAGGACGUGCUUAAUUCUGACCUUUCGUAAACUGAGCUGUCCUGAUUCUGCGCGUAGUUUCCCUUGCUUUUAACCUCUCCUGCAUUCGAGCUAUGGUUUCUCUCAUUCUGAUUAAUUCUUCGAUUGGGAUUCGUAUCGAAGAUUGGUGGCUGUUAGCAGGGAUAGCUGAUUGGUCAAUGACCCUUUCUUGGUGGGCGGGAACCUGCUGUUGUUCCCUCUGCUGCUGUUCUAUAUUCAGGGCCUUUUCUUGACGGGUGGGAAUCUGUUGUUUCCUCUGCUGCUACUCUCUCUGCAUUUGCUGCAUCUGCAGAAAGCUAAAUGGAUUUUGGAAUAUUACUGUUUCCAUUUGUGUCUGAUUCAGCAGGGGGUUUGGUAUUACUAGGGUUUGAUUUUCUCCCGGGGCGUUAGUUUGGGCCCUGGGGCUCUCAGGUGCCCCCUCUUGUUGGGUCGCCCCUUGUGGUUUUUCCCGCACGUAUGAGAUUGUUCUUGUGUCAACCAUUUUACUACUUUGGUCUAGAAAAAAUCGAGUUGAGAUAAUCCACUUGUGUGGGUCGACUUGAGGAAGGCGAGUGUUGCGAGGUCACGAAAGUCGAACUAGCUGAACCUCGAGCUGGGGAUCAACUCUCUCACUAUGACUGUUUUCCGUCGAUGUCGACCUUAGGUCAGUCGAAUUUGCAGAAGUCGAGCCCGGGGUUGAUCCUUCUUAGGUGCUCGAAUUGGAACUUCCCGAAGAAGUCGAACUGGACUGGUCGAGUUGGAUCACGAAGUCGACUCUAGGAAUCGAGCUUCCCGAGGAAGUCGGGCUGGACGACUGAACCUGGAGUCGAUCCCCCAGAUGUAGUUGAGUUGGAUCGCAAAUUCGACCCUGGGAGUCAGACCUCCCGAGGAAAUCGAGCUGGAGGGCUGAAUCUGUGCUCUUUGGAGCUGAUUUGGCCGCGACUUUUCGACAAAGUCGACCAGCUUUCUGUUUUGUGAGUAUCUUGAAUUCACAGACGGUGCUAAUUGAUAAGGGUCGAACCCGAUCAGUGCUAGCGCAACGCUUCGAACAAGCGUAUGGCCACGAACUCCACCGAAAAUCGCUCGGACACUCUAGUCACUCAGGCUUUCUCUGGCAGAGGUUCUUUCUCACUCCAAAUAUCCUAACCUCCAAUGAAUGAUGGUGGUCCCUAUUUAUAGGGUCCUUAUGGUGGUAAUCUGGUCAUUAGGGCUCUAACCGCCUAACUGCCCAGAUCUGGCCCGGGUCGACUUUGUGGGGUCGACUUUUGGCCCUUGACCUCCUUAGGGGUCGGCUUGGCUAAAGUCGUCCAGGAGGGUCGACUUCUUCAUAAAGUCGACUGGAGCUCCCCAUUUCCUAUAUGGGCGCUUCCACUCAUUCUAGCUUAUCUUAAGCUGGUGUUGUGGUCUGGUACGGGAUACUAUACCACCUACGAUGUAAUGAAGUAUAUCAAUUUUUCGGAUGUCGAUGUCACUACUAGCGGGCACAAUCCUGGGGACCGUCUGAUUGUGACCGAACAUAUGCAGGCUCCUCAGAUUGCUGGGAUUUACGAGCGAGCACUUGGUCGACUGGAUCCCUUGAUUGGAAAGGAAGAAGAUUGGGGGAUUCUUGAGAAAAAAGACUCUGAUGAUAUUGACGACGCAUGCUACAUUCAUGCCCUUCAGGCUGUGGCUAUCGAACGUUACCGACAGAACAGAGGUGCCCGGUAGACCCGUGAACUUAAUGAUGCUUUGGAUGAAGUUACUCGCCUGACCAAUGAACUUUCCCUAAGGUAUACUGAGAUUGAAUCAUUUAUGAAGGAGAGGGACGAUGGAGCCUCCCAGAUUGCAUCAAUACAAAAAGAUGUCGAAAGUGCGAAGCUGAAAUUUGCCGAACGUGCCAAGUCUGUUACCGAUAGGAACAAGCGUUCUUGUUUUAAGAAUUUUGUUGAAGAUAUGGUUCACGAGCGGGAGAUAGUCAACCUUCGGAGUCCCGAGUAUGAGUCAGUUGUUGUACUUGUGAAUCCUCACAUGUGGGAGCAAUGGCAAGCGCACGGGAUCCCUGAGGAACACCCCCAUUGGUCGAAGACACUUCAGGAUCUUACGGGUGAUGCAGAUGAUAAAUAGAUGUUUUUUUGUAACGCACCUUUUAUUUUGUCCCCCUUCUUUGCACGACUAUUUCUCGUUAUUUUUGCUUUUUCUUUUUAUGACUUGUCUGUUCGUCCUUGUUUGUGCUUCCUUUACCCUACGAGUUACCUUCUGAUGCAUUCUUGUUUCCUCGUCCCCCUUUUUUUCUUAUGGUAUUUUGUGUCGCAUAGUUGCCUACGCUUCCGACGUCUGAUGGGUGGAUUGCCUUUGACCGACACGACUGCCCUACGGCAUUUUUAUUUUGGCGGGUGGUUGAUGAAGCACGAAAUCUGCUACCAGUAGGCUCGCGGGGUUGCGAGGAGGGCCGGAGGCUUUGGAGUCCACGACGCACGCUCUACGUCAAUGUACCUGCAGAAGAGGAGGGGAAUCGGCGACUCACGUGGGAGUAGGCGAUUCGGGCUCCAUAGUUUACUCUGGUUGGGGUGUGUUAAGUGUGAAUGACUUGAGGGAAGAGGUCCCCCAAGGACCCCUUUUAUAGGGUCCUGGGGGACGUUUUCCCCAUUCAUUAGCGUGGGACCCACCCCAUUAAGGUAUCCUAUUAAGGAAUGCCUUAAUGGCGAGGGUCCGCUCAAGUAACGGCUGGGAGUCGGCGAUUCAGGUGUGGGAAUCGCCGAUCCAGAGGUUCAAUCGCCGACUCCCCAUGAGCCUAGUGGCAGCCUACCAGAACUGUCCACGAGGCCUAGAGUUAGCGAUUCAUCCCUGGAGUCAGCGACUUGGUAGUCCCAAUCGGCGACUCCCAGGUGCUGCCUUGAGUACUUGACGUAGAAACUCCUUCCGGAUUCGUGGAACUCUCCGGGGGUCCGGCAGCAAGUGACGGAACCCUAGUUCUUGUCGAAGGGCGUUGCUGGAAGUGACUGACGUGUUCAGGCAUGUCUCACCAGUACUCCCCCCUGAAGAGAGCAUGGCAAAACACCCGUGUAGCCUCAGUCUCCCCCCCCGAGCAAGAUAGUACGUGUGGACCAUAUCAAAUGGACUGAUUCACCAUCGGAAUAUAGUCAUUGUGCCCACAGCGACACUAAUGACUCCGCGUGGUCCAUGCAUUAUCAGAUGGACUGAUUCAUUAUCAGAAUCUAGUUCCAGGCCAACGGAACUACAUGUUUAUAGUCUUACUCUGAUCAAGAGCGACUUUUGCUGUGUGGAUCUUUGCCGAAGCAACAGAUCGCGUGGAUUCACUGUUGGAAUCUGAUUCUGGCCGAAGCAACAGAAUGCGUGGAUUCGUUAUCCGAAUCGGGUUCUGGCCGNNNNNNNNNNNNNNNNNNNNNNNNNNNNNNNNNNNNNNNNNNNNNNNNNNNNNNNNNNNNNNNNNNNNNNNNNNNNNNNNNNNNNNNNNNNNNNNNNNNNGGCCGAAGCAACAGAAUGCGUGGAUUCAUUAUCCGAAUCGGGUGUUUAUAGUCUACCCUGAUCAAAGGCGACUUUUUGUCCGCAACGACGGUUACCCCAUAGGCCGAAGCGCAAGAUGGGUCGAGAUCAUUAAGGUCAAAUGACAAAAAUGAUCUCCAAAUGUUUGAAGAACCAUUGAAGCCAAAGCGACAACAUAGUUCUUGGUUUGAUUCUGGCCGAAGCAACAGAAUGCGUGGAUUCUGGCCGAAGCAACAGAAUCGUGCCUGCAAAACAAAAAACAACCUGCAAAACAACUUUAUCAGUCUAAAGGAUAUAUUAAUUGAUCUACUGACCUUGCCGUGCGGAGCUGCCUCUCAAUGCUGCUCCUCAUCCUUGAUUGAUCUGUCUGGAGCGACAGAUCUAUCAUGCUCAAAAAAUGUGACAGCUUCUGGCCGAAGCAACAGAAGUGCCGACUCAGUAUUAGAGUCUGAUUCUGGCCGAAGCAACAGAAUGCGUGGANNNNNNNNNNNNNNNNNNNNNNNNNNNNNNNNNNNNNNNNNNNNNNNNNNNNNNNNNNNNNNNNNNNNNNNNNNNNNNNNNNNNNNNNNNNNNNNNNNNNCCGAAGCGCAGAUCGCGUGGAUUCACUAUUGGAAUCUGACUUACUACCAGAGUCUGGUUCACUAUUAGAACCUUGUGAUGUGACGACUUCCAUCCUAUAGACAGAAGUGUCGGGAGAGCUUGUGAUACUCUCCCUUGAAAUGUGACGACUUCCACCCUAUAGACAGAAGUGUCGGGAGAGCUUGUCAUACUCCCCCCCGAAAUGUGACGACUUCCAUCCUAUGGACAGAAGUGUCGGGAGAGCUUCUGAUACUCCCCCUCGAAAUGUGACGACUUCCAUCCCAUGGACAGAAGUGUCGGGAGAGCUUGUGAUACUCUCCCUCGAAAUGUGACGACUUCCAUCCCAUGGACAGAAGUGUCGGGAGAGUUCGUGAUAAUUCUCCCUCGAAUUUUGACAACUUCUGGUCAAAGUGACAGAAGUGUCGGGAGAGUUUGUGAUACUCCCCCUCGAAAACUUGCGCUUGGGGCAAUUUUAGUGUUAUUUUACCCGGAAUCGGCGACUGGAGUUUGUGACACUCUUGGAAGUCGGCGAUAUCCGUGGUAUUUUUUAUUUUUUACCCUUGUGAGUCGGCGACUCCCUCUGUGAGUCGGCGACUCCUAGUGUAACCGUCGGAUCUUUCCGGAAGAUACUUGGAAUAUUUUGGAGAUAUAUGGGGAAUAUAUGCAAAAUCUCCAAAGCGACAAGAUGGGAUGAGAUCAUUAAGGCCAAAGCGACAAAAUGAUCUCCAAGUCUAUCAAGGCCAAAGCGACAAGAUAGAAGAAUUAUUAAGGCCAAAGCGACAAAAUAAUUCUUGGUCCAUUAAGGCCAAAGCGACAAAAUGGACCUUGAUCUAUUAAGGCCAAAGCGACAAAAUAGAUUUCUAAUGCAGGGUACUAGUUAGAGUCGUAGGUAGUGAUUUCGAAAGAGUGUUACAAAAAUAAAAUCUAACUAUUCUAUUUUGUAACUUGUACUAGCAUAGGGACUACAAUUUAGGACUACAAUUCUAGACUUGAACCCUGGUGUAUUAGUCAAGCUCCGGCCAUAGCGACAGAGUGACUCUCGAUCCUUAUCAAGGCCAUAGCGACAAGAUGGGAUAGGAUCAUUGAAGCCAAGGCGACAAAAUGAUCCUUGGUCUAUUAAGGCCAUAGCGACAAAAUAGAUUAAAAGCGAGGGUAUCGUUGAUUGUAGUCGAAAAUUUAGAAUAUCGGGCUAGAUUCGUAAAUGAGAGUCCGAUUUAGAUUCUUAAGUCGCACUUUGGACUCAUAAAUCGUAAACUAGACUUGGAAUCGCAAUUUUAGUCACUUUGGACGUAAAUUGGAUUUUGUAACCAUCGCUUAGAUUCGCGGGUCGUAAGCUAGGUCUGAGCAGCGUGUAUCAUCCAGCCAAAGCGAUGGAUGAUACAUGAGGUUGAAGAGACGGAUGUCAUCUAGCCGGAGCGAUGGAUGAUUGAUCCGUCUGAAGCGAUGGAUGAUUAUUCUAAAAAUGGUACUGCAUAUAUCUCUAUGGGUUAAAGAGAGAUUUAUUUAGAAUAAUAUCGCUAUUGAGAAUACAUGAGAAUAGCAUGAGCGACAAAUAAAACAAUCGACAUGUUUUGGUCGCUGGUUGCCACUGACAGAAGCAUAGCCUGCAUGGUUACUCUGGCCAAUCCUAUCUCUUAACAGGUGAUAGUUCCUCACUACUAAUGUGAUGCAUUUGAUUGCGAGUGUGAACUGUGGCUCUGGUUGCCA